GCCUUGAACUCACAGAGCUCCAGAUGGAUCUCUGCCUCCAGAAGGCUAGGAUUAAAGUUAAGAAAGACAUCAUCUGAUCUGGAGAAAGAUGCAUGUACCUGGAGAGAAUCACACCAAGUGGAUGACCAAGUCUCCAGAUGACAGAUAUCCAGUGUCUCUCAUUUGUGGAGCCUCGAUUUGGCAGAUACAUGAGACUGUUUUGCUCUAUCACAUGAGAGUAUCUGGGUAAAAUGUGUGAAGAAAAAUUGGCUAAUGAUAUCAGGGAGGUGUGAGAAGUAGGAGAGGAUUGCAGUAUUUGGAAAUGGACUCAAAGAGGACUAUGUAGUUGCAGGAAAUUAAUGUCAGGCAGCCCCAUACCACCUAAUAGAGGUGACUCCUGGCACCCUGUGCUGAUCUGAAAAUUGAGACAGCCACACUUUGAAGACAAUGACUGUUCUUUGGACUUUAUUGUGCUGAUGUGUGAAGUUAAACUUGAAAUCCAAAGGAAACAACUUGAAUCAACACAAUCAAAAUUUACCCUGCACUUCCUUUGCCUGAAGGAGUCUGAUCCUUCCCAUAAAGGCUAACUUUUUUUUUUUUAUGAAAUAAUCCUUUCAAAUGAAAAGUCUGUCCUUUAAAUAAAUGUUUAACCUGUAAGAAGAUGAACAACCAUUUUCAUGAAAAGUCAAUUUAAUGGAGUCUGAAAUAUCAAGGUUAACAUCACCCUGUUCUGAUUCCAUGUUGAUUUUGUUAAGACAGUUCUCAGUCCUUUACCCCACCCUCCAAUGUCCACACAUUCAGAUUUCCAUGGACUUGACCUUGGUCCAGAUGUAUUCACCCAAAUAAUUAAAGUAAGCCAAAAUAUCAAAAAACUAUAGACAAGAAAAACACCUGCCUUAACAUGUCAGGAAUGAGCAUUUCAAGAUUACCCUGAUCAUUAUCUAACUUUGAUGUGAAUUAUUGUCUUUGUGGCUUUUCCCUUUAAAAAUUAGGUAUGCAAAGCUUGGUUUCCAAGAGAUUUUUCAGAGGCAUGAGACUAUUGUGUAUCUGACCAUCAAUAAAAAGUACUUAAAACUUUUA